AUGGAGUUUGCUGGUGAGAUGGAGGCCCUUCUUGGCCGGCUAUACAUUGGCAACGGCAACGAGCAGGAACAGUUUUGCAUGGAAGCAUCGUGCCUUAUCGAGAGGAUGGACGUAGAAGGCGGGCAAGCGUGCGGCCUCCAGCCGGUGCCCGAGGUGUCCGGCGAUAUGAUUGACAUCGACUUCGACUGCGGCUCACCUUAG
rnacentral:rRNA from 1 species